CCUACGGGGGGCAGCAGUGAGGAAUAUUGGUCAAUGGACGCAAGUCUGAACCAGCCAAGUAGCGUGAAGGAUGACUGCCCUAUGGGUUGUAAACUUCUUUUAUGUGGGAAUAAAAUGUUCCACGUGUGGGCGUUUGUAUGUACCCUAUGAAUAAGGAUCGGCUAACUCCGUGCCAGCAGCCGCGGUAAUACGGAGGAUCCGCGCGUUAUCCGGAUUUAUUGGGUUUAAAGGGAGCGUAGGUGGGUGGUUAAGUCAGUUGUGAAAGUUUGCGGCGCAACCGUAAAAGUGCAGUUGAAACUGGAGGGCUUGAGUGCAGUAGAGGUUGGCGGAAUUCGUGGUGUAGCGGUGAAAUGCUUAGAUAUCAUGAAGAACACCGAUUGCGAAGGCAGGUGACUGGGCUGCUACUGACGCUGAGGCUCGAAAGUGCGGGUAUCAAACAGGAUUAGAUACCCUUGUAGUC
rnacentral:rRNA from 1 species